GAUGAACGCUGGCGGCGUGCUUAACACAUGCAAGUCGAACGAAGCACUUUAACCUGAUUCUUCGGAUGAAGGUUUUUGUGACUGAGUGGCGGACGGGUGAGUAACGCGUGGGUAACCUGCCUCAUACAGGGGGAUAACAGUUAGAAAUGACUGCUAAUACCGCAUAAGACCACAGAGCCGCAUGGCUCGGUGGGAAAAACUCGGGGGGUAUGAGAUGGACCCGCGUCUGAUUAGGUAGUUGGUGGGGUAACGGCCUACCAAGCCAACGAUCAGUAGCCGACCGGGGAGGGUGCCAGGCCGCAAUGGAACUGAGACACAGCCCAAACUCGUACGGAGGGGAGGAGAAGGGAAUAUAACGCAAUGAAGGAAGACCUAAUACAGCGACGCCGCGGAAGCGAACAAGUAUUUCGGAAUGUAAAGCCCUCUGAGAAGGAGAGAAAAUGACGGUACCUGACAAAGAAGCACCGGCUAAAUACGUG
rnacentral:rRNA from 1 species